rnacentral:rRNA from 1 species
GACGAACGCUGGCGGCGUGCCUAAUACAUGCAAGUCGAACGCAGUGGGGACGGGUGAGUAACACGUGGCUAACCUCCCAUCAGAGGGGAUAACACUUGGAAACAGGUGCUAAACCGAUACUGGUUGAUGGACCCGCGGUGGAUUAGCUAGUUGGUGAGGUAACGGCUCACCAAGGCCACGAUUCAUAGCCGGCCUGAGAGGAUGAUCGGCCACACUGGGACUGAGACACGGUCCAGACUCCUACGGGAGGCAGCAGUAGGGAAUAUUGGGCAAUGGGCGAAAGUCUGACCGAGCAACGCCGCGUGAGUGAAGAAGGUUUUCGGAUCGUAAAACUCUUUUGUUAGGGACGCGUUAUCUAAACAGGAAGCCACGGCUAACUACGUGCCAGCCGCCGCGGUAAUAC